rnacentral:lncRNA from 1 species
UCAUGUUGACACAAACACAAGGGUGAGUAACCCUAUUGCUAUCAAAGACCGUUCAAUUUCUCAAUUUCCACCAAGUCCAGAAGACACCUGAAAUACCAACUAUUAUCAAAUCUUCAUCAUUUUUAUUAAACUUCUUAAUCUAGGAGUCAAACAAAACGUUCACAUUAUCUGGGAUAUUUAACAUGUUGAGAGCAGAUUCCAAGUAUUCCACAACAACUUAGCAAGUGAGCAAUGAAAAAAAGAUGAGUAAUAUCCUCUUCUCUUCAACAAAAAGAACACUUCUUGUUGUCCGUAGUCCACCCCCUACGCAACAAAUUAUCUUUAGUGAGAAUGCCAUUUUUCAGAAUCGGCCACAUGAACACCUUAACACGCGUGGGAAUUUUAGCCUUCCAUAUAAAUUUAUGUGGUACUUGUAACCAUUUUGUAUCAUGAAUUUAUACCAAGAUUUAACUCUAUAUUCCCUAUUUUUAGUCAAAGACCAAUUAGUCACAUCUUUUUGAUCAGUCAGGGUCACAUCUUCAUAGGUUCUUUUAAUAUGAUUCUAUAGUUCCAAGGAUUCUUCAUGUAAGGUUCUUCUGAACCUACCGUUUUGUAACCCUUGGUCAAAGGUUUCUGCCACACACUUGUUUUUGUCAAAACAUAUACUCCCUUCAUUUCUAAAUAUAAGGUGUAUUAUUUAAAAAAAUCAAACUUGUCUAACUUUGACCGAGUUUGUAGACCUAAAUAUCAAGGUCUAGAAUACCAAAUCAUUAUCACUACAUUCAUCAUGAAAUAUAUUUUUGUAUUUUAUAUAUUUGGUAUUGUAAAUUAUCAUAUAUUUUACUAUAAAGUUGGUCAAACGUGGAUAAGAUUUGACUUUUUUAAAACUAAUACACCUUAUAUUUAGGAACGGAUGGAGUAUUAUAUAGUCUAGGGAAACU